GGCCCAGACAUGUCUCCUUCAAUCUCACAACACAAAACCCAAUAAUGUUGGCUAUAAUUCCCAGGUAAAAUUUCAAUCAUCAAAUGGAGUAAUGAGAUAAUUAACGAUAAAACUAAAUGUAAGCCAAUGUUGUACUGCCAUUGAAACAAACCUCUAUUAUUUAAUUUUUUGACCAUGAUCAUCCCUACUCUCUUUCUAUCAAGGUAGGGUAACUUUGGCUGUGUCUUUAGGGAAAGGAAUAUCUAAUAAUUACUUAUAAUAGAACUGAUGAUAAUGAUAGUUGACAACUAAUGAAUAACUGCAGAAAUAGGGUGAUGAUUAAAGCUGAGUUAGACAUUACCUCUUGAAAAAGAAGCAUAGUCCUCAGAGAUGAUCGCUAGGAACAGGAAAAAAAAAAAAAAAGAAAGAAAGAAAAAACAGGGUUGACGUGAAAAGUUAAAUCCUAAGUUCUCAAGAGCUAACAAUAACCUAAGAUGAAAUACUACUUCCAACCACUCGCUAACAACCUAUAACUAAGCCUUCUUGCACCCUGAGAUUGUGCUAGAGAAGGAAUUGUACCUUUUGGAAUGGAUCCCAAUAUACUAUUACAUGUCUACUCUAGAAGCAUCAUUCUGGGAGCUGUGGAUGGGAAAGUAAAGAUGGAUUCAAACAUUAUGUAUCACCUGCAUAACAAAGGAACUUCUGGUGGUAUUAUCUUGAUAUCAUCUAUGAUAUCGAAUUAUACUACAGAGCAAUAGUAAUAAAGCCACAUUUUUUGGCAUAAAAGCAGACAGGUUGAUCAACUACAUAGAAUUGAAAUCCUGAAAUAAAUCAGAUUUGUACCACAUUUUUAAAUGAGUUGCAUGGUUUGGUGGUGUCUAAUUUCUUGAGUUUGUAUAUAUUCAUGACAUUAGUACUCUGUCAGAUGUAGGGUAGAUGAAGAUCUAUUCCCAUUCUGUAGGUUGCCCUUUUGUCCUAUUGCCUCGCAAAAGCUUUUCAGACUCAAGAGACACUAUUUAAUAAUUUUGACCUUACUGAUUGAGCUAUUGGUAUUCAUGUCAAGAAUAAGUCUUCUAUCCCAAAAAGUUCAAGGUAGUUCCCUACUUUCUCUUUUAAUAGAUUUAGUAUGUCCAGUUUUAUGUUGAGGUCUUUUAUCCACUUGGUCUUUUAUCCAGAAAGGGAUGGUUGAUCAUCUCCUAUGACCACUCUUGAUAAAAAUCUUGGGCAGACCAGAGAUAUAAGGCACAUACUUUCUUUUAUUAGAUAUUUUAUUUUCAUUACAAAAAUCAUCCCCUUUCCUAGUUUCCCCUUUGAAAAUCAUCUCUCAUGUCCUCACUCACCCUACUCCCCAACCUGCCAACUCCUGCUUCCUGGCCCAGGCAUUCCCCUAUACAGGGGCAUAGAACCUUCAGAGGAUCAAGAGCCUUUCCUCCCAUUUAUGACGGACCAGGCCACCCUCUGCUACAUAAAGCCACAAUUCCCACAAUGUUUUUUAUUUGAUUUGAUUUGAUUUGAUUUGAUUUGAUUUGAUUUGAUUUGAUUUGAUUGAUGGUUUAGUUCCAGGGAGCUCUGGGGUUACUGGUUAAUUCAUAUUGUAGUUGUUCCUAGAGGGUUGCCAACCCCUUCAGUUCCUUGGGUACUUUCUCCAGCACUUUCGUUAGGGACGCUGUGCUCUGUCUAAUGAAUGACUGUGAGCAUCCACAUCUGUAUUAGUCAGGCACUGGCAGAGCCUGUCAGAAGACAUCUAUAACAGGCUCCUAUCAGCAAGCUAUUGUUGGCUAUUAUGUAUUUACAUACAUAAAAUAAAUAAGUAAAUCUUUUUUUUUAAAAAGCUAUAUUAGAACAGCUCAAACAAAUGACUAAUUCUUGUCAAUAUAUUAUGAAAAAGGUGAUAAAAAUAGAUACUCCAAAAGAAAUAGAGUCCAAAACCAAUCUAAUGAAACACUGAGAAUAUAAAGAAUAUUGGUAGAAAUACGUGCAACAUGAAACAAAAUGAGUCAUUCUAGGAAAUUUGUAUUAAUAUUACUCUGCAUAAUCCCACAGCUCUUUCCUUGUUCCUUUUCCUUUAACUACUUUGAAGUUAUGAAUAAGAUUUUAAACCAUCUGAUCUAUAUCUUCAUGGUAUCACUGAUUAAAGCCAUGUCACGUAAGAGCUGAGAUGAUGGUGCAGUGAUUAUAAACAUUGGUUCUUAUUUCUGAGGACCUAUGUUUAGUUCCUAGUAUCUUCAUAGCAGCUCCAACUGUCUAUAGCUCCAGUUCCAAAAGAACAAUUGUGUUUUUCUGAACAUUGUAAGCACUGGAUGUAUAUGGUACACAGACACCCCUC
rnacentral:lncRNA from 1 species